rnacentral:misc_RNA from 1 species
AUGACUUGUUUACAGCAAGGAAAAGUGCUUUAAACUUGCUUGGUGUUAUUUCAAUAUCUAAGGGACUGCCAGUCAAGACUUCUACAGCUUCAUCAAAGCGUAAGAAAGGAGAAAAGAACAAAAGAAAAGGUUACAGCUCGAUGGGGGAGUUGUUGGUGCUUCCAUUCUUGUCAAAAUUUCCUGUUCCCACUGAUAAUGGCGAAAACACAGUAAAUGAAUAUUACGGCGUUCUGAUGGCCUAUAGCAGCCUUUUAGAUUUUCUAACAGAACAGAGUCCUGGAUUUACGGAUACUCUAGUUAGGAAUCGGGUGCUACCACUGU